GACGAACGCUGGCGGCGCGCCUAACACAUGCAAGUCGAACGGAGUCAAGAGGAGCUUGCUUUUCUUGACUUAGUGGCGAACGGGUGAGUAACGCGUGAGUAACCUGCCCUGGAGUGGGGGACAACAGUUGGAAACGACUGCUAAUACCGCAUAAGCCCACUGAUCCGCAUGGAUCUGCGGGAAAAGGAUUUAUUCGCUUCAGGAUGGACUCGCGUCCAAUUAGCUAGUUGGUGAGGUAACGGCCCACCAAGGCGACGAUUGGUAGCCGGACUGAGAGGUUGACCGGCAAGCUUGGGACUGAGACACGGACCAGACUCCUACGGGAGGAAGCAGUGGGGGCUAUUGCACAAUGGGGGAAACACUGAUGCAGCGACGCCGCGUGGAGGAAGAAGGUUUUCGGAUUGUAAGCUCCUGUCGUUAGGGCAGAUAAUGACGGUACCUAACAAGAAAGCACCGGCUAACUACGUG
rnacentral:rRNA from 1 species